GACGAACGCUGGCGGCGUGCUUAACACAUGCAAGUCGAACGGAAAGGCCCUGCUUUGGUGGGGUGCUCGAGUGGCGAACGGGUGAGUAACACGUGAGUAACCUGCCCUUGACUUUGGGAUAACUUCAGGAAACUGGGGCUAAUACCGGAUAGGAGCUCCUGCUGCAGGGGGGGGGUUGGAAAGUUUCGGCGGUUGGGGAUGGACGCGCGGCUUAUCAGCUGGUUGGUGGGGGAGUGGCUUACCAAGGCUUUGACGGGUAGCCGGCCGGAGAGGGUGACCGGCCACAUUGGGCCUGGGAUACGGCCCAGACUCCUCCGGGAGGCAGCAGUGGGGAAUAUUGCACAAUGGGCGGAAGCCGGAUGCAGCAACGCCGCGUGCGGGAUGACGGCCUUCGGUUUGUAAACCGCUUUCGCCUGUGACGAAGCGUGAGUGACGGUAAUGGGUAAAGAAGCACCGGCUAACUACGUG
rnacentral:rRNA from 1 species